rnacentral:tRNA from 1 species
UUAAGCUGGCGGGGACGCUUGAUGCGCUGCUGCGCUGGCAGCAGCGUUUGCGGGAGAUGCGUCCGCGGGUGCUGGUGCUGCAGUUUGGC